AAUCCACAUUUUCAGGUAGUGUGCUACAUGAGGGGCAAGUUUUUCGCUAACACUCCAUUCUGACCCAGUGAGUGGAGUUUGAUAGUAAUCCUUGCUACAAGU
rnacentral:snoRNA from 1 species